ACCACCUGUGCUGCCUGGCCUGACCGGCAAGAUGCUGAAAUUGGUCACACAGCCUCGAGUCCCAAGGCCCGGACAGAUGUGUUCUCUACACUUGUUUAAACACGGCGCUCAUUAGGAGCUGAGCAUGUAAAGCAAGUUGAUCACCACAAAGCAGGACGCUUUAUCAUGGGGGCCUCUCCGGAGGCGGCGGGAGGGGCCGUCAGCUGCCACUGUCACUCUGCUGCCCCCCUCGGAUCCUGAGUGACAGUCGGCCCGCCACCUCCUCAGCCGCCUGCUCGGAAGUACACAGCUUCCCGUCAGAGAGCCGCCGAGCUGCCUGGGAGGAGGUAUUAAUUGUUGUCAGCGUUCAUUUCACACCCCAGAUAACAAACGAGAGCCACCCUGGCGGUGUGCAAGGAAGAUAAACAAGUUGCCUGAGCCCCUGCAAUUAAACAUGCUUGCAUAUUUAA
rnacentral:lncRNA from 1 species